GAGGGUAUAGCUUAGUGGUAGAGUGUGUGCUUAGCAUGCAUGAGGUCCUGGGUGCAACCCCAGUAUCUCCA
rnacentral:tRNA from 1 species